GGAGCUUGCUCCCUGAUGUUAGCGGCGGACGGGUGAGUAACACGUGGGUAACCUGCCUGUAAGACUGGGAUAACUCCGGGAAACCGGGGCUAAUACCGGAUGGUUGUUUGAACCGCAUGGUUCAAACAUAAAAGGUGGCUUCGGCUACCACUUACAGAUGGACCCGCGGCGCAUUAGCUAGUUGGUGAGGUAACGGCUCACCAAGGCAACGAUGCGUAGCCGACCUGAGAGGGUGAUCGGCACACUGGGACUGAGACACGGCCCAGACUCCUACGGGAGGCAGCAGUAGGGAAUCUUCCGCAAUGGACGAAAGUCUGACGGAGCAACGCCGCGUGAGUGAUGAAGGUUUUCGGAUCGUAAAGCUCUGUUGUUAGGGAAGAACAAGUACCGUUCGAAUAGGGCGGUACCUUGACGGUACCUAACCAGAAAGCCACGGCUAACUACGUGCCAGCAGCCGCGGUAAUACGUAGGUGGCAAGCGUUGUCCGGAAUUAUUGGGCGUAAAGGGCUCGCAGGCGGUUUCUUAAGUCUGAUGUGAAAGCCCCCGGCUCAACCGGGGAGGGUCAUUGGAAACUGGGGAACUUGAGUGCAGAAGAGGAGAGUGGAAUUCCACGUGUAGCGGUGAAAUGCGUAGAGAUGUGGAGGAACACCAGUGGCGAAGGCGACUCUCUGGUCUGUAACUGACGCUGAGGAGCGAAAGCGUGGGGAGCGAACAGGAUUAGAUACCCUGUAGUCCACGCCGUAAACGAUGAGUGCUAAGUGUUAGGGGGUUUCCGCCCCUUAGUGCUGCAGCUAACGCAUUAAGCACUCCGCCUGGGGAGUACGGUCGCAAGACUGAGACUCAAAGGAAUUGACGGGGGCCCGCACAAGCGGUGGAGCAUGUGGUUUAAUUCGAAGCAACGCGAAGAACCUUACCAGGUCUUGACAUCCUCUGACAAUCCUAGAGAUAGGACGUCCCCUUCGGGGGCAGAGUGACAGGUGGUGCAUGGUUGUCGUCAGCUCGUGUCGUGAGAUGUUGGGUUAAGUCCCGCAACGAGCGCAACCCUUGAUCUUAGUUGCCAGCAUUCAGUUGGGCACUCUAAGGUGACUGCCGGUGACAAACCGGAGGAAGGUGGGGAUGACGUCAAAUCAUCAUGCCCCUUAUGACCUGGGCUACACACGUGCUACAAUGGACAGAACAAAGGGCAGCGAAACCGCGAGGUUAAGCCAAUCCCACAAAUCUGUUCUCAGUUCGGAUCGCAGUCUGCAACUCGACUGCGUGAAGCUGGAAUCGCUAGUAAUCGCGGAUCAGCAUGCCGCGGUGAAAACGUUCCCGGGCCUUGUACACACCGCCCGUCACACCACGAGAGUUUGUAACACCCGAAGUCGGUGAGGUAACCUUUUAGGAGCCAGCCGCCGAAGGUGGGACAGAUGAUUGGGGUGAAGUCGUAACAAGGUA
rnacentral:rRNA from 1 species